rnacentral:rRNA from 1 species
GACGAACGCUGGCGGCGUGCUUAACACAUGCAAGUCGAACGGAAAGGCCCUGCUUUUGUGGGGUGCUCGAGUGGCGAACGGGUGAGUAACACGUGAGUAACCUGCCCUUGACUUUGGGAUAACUUCAGGAAACUGGGGCUAAUACCGGAUAGGAGCUCCUGCUGCAUGGUGGGGGUUGGAAAGUUUCGGCGGUAGGGGAUGGACUCGCGGCUUAUCAGCUUGUUGGUGGGGUAGUGGCUUACCAAGGCUUUGACGGGUAGCCGGCCUGAGAGGGUGACCGGCCACAUUGGUACUGAGAUACGGACCAGACUCCUACGGGAGGCAGCAGUGGGGAAUAUUGCACAAUGGGCGGAAGCCUGAUGCAGCAACGCCGCGUGCGGGAUGACGGCCUUCGGGUUGUAAACCGCUUUCGCCUGUGACGAAGCGUGAGUGACGGUAAUGGGUAAAGAAGCACCGGCUAACUACGUG